rnacentral:rRNA from 1 species
UUGAACGCUGGCGGCAUGCCUUACACAUGCAAGUCGAACGGCAGCACGGGAGCAAUCCUGGUGGCGAGUGGCGAACGGGUGAGUAAUACAUCGGAACGUGCCCAGUAGUGGGGGAUAACCCGGCGAAAGCCGGACUAAUACCGCAUACGACCUACGGGUGAAAGCAGGGGAUCGCAAGACCUUGCGCUAUUGGAGCGGCCGAUGUCAGAUUAGCUAGUUGGUGGGGUAAAAGCCCACCAAGGCGACGAUCUGUAGCUGGUCUGAGAGGACGACCAGCCACACUGGGACUGAGACACGGCCCAGACUCCUACGGGAGGCAGCAGUGGGGAAUUUUGGACAAUGGGCGCAAGCCUGAUCCAGCCAUGCCGCGUGCGGGAAGAAGGCCUUCGGGUUGUAAACCGCUUUUGUCAGGGAAGAAACGCUCCGGGUUAAUACCCUGGAGUAAUGACGGUACCUGAAGAAUAAGCACCGGCUAACUACGU